AUAUCAAUAAGCGGAGGAAAAGAAACCAACAGGGAUUGCCUCAGUAACGGCGAGUGAACCGGCAAUAGCUCAAAUUUGAAAUCUGGCUCCCUUUUUGGGGUCCGAGUUGUAAUUUAGAGAGGAUGUUUCGGGUGCGGCGCCAGUCGAAGUCCCUUGGAACAGGGUGUCAUAGAGGGUGAGAACCCCGUACGCGACCGGCGACUAAGCCCAUGCGAUACUCCUUCGACGAGUCGAGUUGUUUGGGAAUGCAGCUCAAAACGGGUGGUAAAUUUCAUCUAAGGCUAAAUACCGGCCAGAGACCGAUAGCGCACAAGUAGAGUGAUCGAAAGAUGAAAAGCACUUUGGAAAGAGAGUUAAAAAGUACGUGAAAUUGUUGAAAGGGAAGCGCUUCCGACCAGACUUGCUUGCAGGCGCUCAGCGGCGGUUCUCCGCCGUGCACUCGUCCGCAAUCAGGUCAGCAUCGGUUCCGGCGGUUGGAAAAAGGUCCCAGGAAUGUAGCUCCUCUCGAGGAGCGUUAUAGCCUGGGGGGUCAUACGAUCAGCCGGGACCGAGGACCGCGCUCCGGGCAAGGAUGCUGGCGUAAUGGUCGCAAGCGG
rnacentral:rRNA from 1 species